UGUGUGGGGGGGAGACGACACUUGAGCUAAGUCAGAUGAGUUGGCAUGAUGAUUGUGUUGGAAAUAUGCCCUAGAGGCAAUAAUAAAUUGGUUAUUAUUGUAUUUCCUAGUUCAUGAUAAUUGUCUAUUAUUCAUGCUAUAAUUGUAUUAACCGGAAACUGUAAUACAUGUGUGAAUAUAUAGAUCACAAUGUGUCCCUAGUAAGCCUCUAGUUGGCUAGCUCAUUGAUCACUAGAUGAUCAUGGUUUCCUGAUCAUGGACAUUGGAUGUCAUUGAUAACGGGAUCACAUCAUUAGGAGAAUGAUGUGAUGGACAAGACCCAAUCCUAAGCAUAGCACUAGAU
rnacentral:lncRNA from 1 species